AAGUCGUAACAAGGUAACCGUAGGUGAACCUGCGGUUGGAUCAUUAUUUACACACACACGAUUUACGAAUUGUGUGCUUCGACCCUGUGCAUUUUUAGUAUGUAAUACGUGAUUGAGAGUGCUCGUACGUGCUCACGACAAUACAAUAAACUGAGAAGCAAAUCAAAACAACUUUUGACAACGGAUCUCUUGGCUCUC
rnacentral:misc_RNA from 1 species